rnacentral:tRNA from 1 species
GGAGAGGUGGCCGAGUGGCUGAAGGCAACGGUUUGCUAAACCGUCGUAGGGGCAUAUACCUCUACCGCGGGUUCGAAUCCCGCCCUCUCCG